rnacentral:rRNA from 1 species
GACGAACGCUGGCGGCGUGCUUAACACAUGCAAGUCGAACGAUGAACCCGGAGCUUGCUCUGGGGGAUUAGUGGCGAACGGGUGAGUAACACGUGAGUAACCUGCCCUGGACUCUGGGAUAAGCGUUGGAAACGACGUCUAAUACCGGAUAGGACCUUGGAUCGCAUGAUCUGGGGUGGAAAGUUUUUUCGGUCUGGGAUGGACUCGCGGCCUAUCAGCUUGUUGGUGAGGUAAUGGCUCACCAAGGCGUCGACGGGUAGCCGGCCUGAGAGGGUGCCCGGCCACACUGGGACUGCGACACGGCCCAGACUCCUACGGGAGGCAGCAGUGGGGAAUAUUGCACAAUGGGCGAAAGCCUGAUGCAGCAACGCCGCGUGCGGGAUGACGGCCUUCGGGUUGUAAACCGCUUUUAGUAGGGAAGAAGGGCUUCGGCUUGACGGUACCUGCAGAAAAAGGACCGGCUAACUACGUG